CCGAUCGGUCUUUGCGUUGUUAUCGUUCUGAAUUUUUCGGUUAUUCGGUGACUUGGCAUUUUGUGACCUGCUUCUGGACUUCGUUGUUUGGGGAAGUCGCGGUGGAUUCUUUUCGCUUGGAGCGAACAGCUUGUCCGAGGAUGUUAUCUAAGGGCGAUGAAUGGCGACACAGGUCAGUUUGUUUCAUAAAACGAAGCGUUUGGGCUUUUUGGAGGACUGAGGAUCUGUUUUGCUGUCUUUUGUUGGUAGAGAUGAUGAACUCACAUCUUAGACCGGCGAUGGACUAAAUUUUGAUAACCUUCUGGGUAUUUAUCGGUUUUGAUUGAAAUUUGUUCUCCGGCUUUUUAUCUUUGGGAUAUGAUCAUGGUCUAGUUCCAAUUCUUUUACAUGUCGCGAUCUUGCCGGGCUUGAGAAGUGGUGAUCUGUUGAGUUAUCUUUGUGAUGUCGAGUUGAUGAUCCCUGACAAUCAGGUAAGCUCCGCUUUUCGAGGCAGUUAAUGGUUUGAAUGGAGUUUGUGUAAGUCUUGUUAUUUUCCGAUUGAUGCGAGAACCAAUUCUCUUUCUUGCCGAGGUCAGAGUUUGGUCGAUGUAGGAACUGUCCUGGUUCUUUCCAUGCCACGUGUACGCUCACUUCAGAUCAUUGCUAUUGAAAAUCUAAAGCCCGUGUCCUUCCUAGAAA